GUAGAUAUAGUUUAACAAAAAUAUUAGAUUGUGAUUCUAAAGACAGAAGAUAAAAUCUUCUUAUCUACC
rnacentral:tRNA from 1 species